CGCGCAGGCGGUCGAUCAAGUCGCGUGUGAAAGCCCCCGGCUCAACUGGGGAGGGUCACGCGAUACUGAUCGACUCGAAGGCAGGAGAGGGUAGUGGAAUUCCCGGUGUAGUGGUGAAAUGCGUAGAUAUCGGGAGGAACACCAGUGGCGAAGGCGACUACCUGGCCUGUUCUUGACGCUGAGGCGCGAAAGCUAGGGAGCAAACG
rnacentral:rRNA from 1 species